GAUGAACGCUGGCGGCGUGCUUAACACAUGCAAGUCGAACGGUGAACUUGGGAGCUUGCUCCUAAGGGAUCAGUGGCGAACGGGUGAGUAACACGUGAGUAACCUGCCCCAGACUCUGGGAUAAGCACUGGAAACGGUGUCUAAUACCGGAUACGAGCUUCAGCCGCAUGGCUAGGAGCUGGAAAGAAUUUCGGUCUGGGAUGGACUCGCGGCCUAUCAGCUUGUUGGUGAGGUAACGGCUCACCAAGGCGACGACGGGUAGCCGGCCUGAGAGGGUGACCGGCCACACUGGGACUGAGACACGGCCCAGACUCCUACGGGAGGCAGCAGUGGGGAAUAUUGCACAAUGGGCGCAAGCCUGAUGCAGCAACGCCGCGUGAGGGAUGAAGCCCUUCGGGGUGUAAACUGCUUUUUUCAGGGACGAACUUCGGUGACGGUACCUGGAGAAUAAGAGGUUGCUAACUCUGUGCCAGCCGCCGCAGUAA
rnacentral:rRNA from 1 species